rnacentral:rRNA from 1 species
AAAAUUUCGCAUGCAUAAUACCUUAAAGGAGAAUCCGCUUUGAGAUGGGCCCGCGUCGCAUUAGCUAGUUGGUGGGAUAACAGCCCACCAAGGCGACGAUGCGUAGCCGACCUGAGAGGGUGAACGGCCACAUUGGAACUGAGAGACGGUCCAGACUCCUACGGGAGGCAGCAGUGGGGAAUAUUGCACAAUGGGGGAAACCCUGAUGCAGCAACGCCGCGUGAGUGAAGAAGGUUUUCGGAUCGUAAAGCUCUGUCAUCCGGGACGAUAAUGACGGUACCGGAAGAGGAAGCCACGGCUAACUACGUGCCAGCAGCCGCGGUAAUACGUAGGUGGCGAGCGUUGUCCGGAAUUACUGGGCGUAAAGGGUGUGCAGGCGGAUAUUUAAGUGAGAUGUGAAAGACCCGGGCUUAACCCGGGCAGUGCAUUUCAAACUGGAUAUCUAGAGUGCAGGAGAGGAGAACGGAAUUCCUAGUGUAGCGGUGAAAUGCGUAGAGAUAAGGAAGAAAA